rnacentral:lncRNA from 1 species
UCUGUGCCCUUUUCCUCUUUCACGAUCGUUUCUCUGUUUCACGUGAAACUUCUUUUUACCAAAUGGGAUUCUUUCUCUUAUUUCCAACAUAUAUAUAUUUUCCAAAUAAUAAUAAUAAUCCCAAAAAUAAUAAUAAUAAAAUUUCCAAUUAUUUAACUAAAUUAAUAAAUAAAUUAUUAACUCAAUUUAAAUAAUUAUUUAAUUAUUAUCGGGGUG